rnacentral:lncRNA from 1 species
CUGAUUAUGAGUGUUUCUUUGUUUUGCAGAUGUGACCUGUUUGUGGUCUAAAUGAAGCUAUGGACAUGGCUGACUUCAUAACAUCAAACACCGAGACGCCUGGGUUCGAUCUGUGUAUUGGUUUCAGGCCACAUUUUCUUAAACACGUAAUAGGAGUUAGUUGCAUAAAUUCUGUUAGUCUUCCGAAUCAGUUUUAGCUUAUGAUCAAGCUCUUCUUAUUUGACAGUUUUUCUGACUGAAGCAUUCUGCAUAGCCAUUAUUUUAGAAGCUGCAGGUUACUGACAGUCAGUCAGCACUGGUGUUGGGAGUGUUCCUUAGACCGGGCUCACAGCUUACAGUCUUUGCUGUUCAUUCUGAAAAAAAAUGCAGAGGAUGAAGAUGAAGAUGAAGUUGAAUCCGGUUCAAGCAAAGACAUAAAAACAAGUGGAGAUAAGUAUAAACUGAAGUUUCUAUUGUUGUCCUCUCUUUUCUCUUUGCCAGUUUCUUUGACCUUCACUGCUGUUCUUUACAGAUAAACAGGGUGAAUGAAGUUGAUUCCAGUUCAAAAAGUGCUCCAAUAAUUAAUUGUUCAGCAUGUUUUGCAGGAUGAAUUUCAGAG